rnacentral:tRNA from 1 species
AGUUAAUGAACUUGAUAAAGUAUAUAUUUUGAAAAUAUAAUUAAAGAAAUUAAAUUUUCUAUUAACUU